CUGUCACAACGGCUUCCUGGCGUGACGGUAAAUUUUAUUGGAGCA
rnacentral:ncRNA from 1 species